rnacentral:rRNA from 1 species
GAUGAACGCUAGCUACAGGCUUAACACAUGCAAGUCGCGGGGCAGCAUGGGGGUUGCUUGCAAUCCCCGAUGGCGACCGGCGCACGGGCGAGUAACGCGUAUCCAACCUGCCCUUCACCACGGGAUAACCCGGCGAAAGUCGGACUAAUACCGUAUGUUGUCCAUUGACGGCAUCCGAUUUGGACGAAAGGUUUGGCGGUGAAGGAUGGGGAUGCGUCCGAUUAGCUGGACGGCGGGGUGACGGCCCACCGUGGCGACGAUCGGUAGGGGUUCUGAGAGGAAGGUCCCCCACACUGGAACUGAGACACGGUCCAGACUCCUACGGGAGGCAGCAGUGAGGAAUAUUGGUCAAUGGGCGUAAGCCUGAACCAGCCAAGUAGCGUGCAGGAUGACGGCCCUAUGGGUUGUAAACUGCUUUUAUGCGGGGAUAAAGUGGCCCACGUGUGGGUUUUUGCAGGUACCGCAUGAAUAAGGACCGGCUAAUUCCGUG